GAUGAAGAACGCAGCGAAAUGCGAUAAGUAAUGUGAAUUGCAGAAUUCAGUGAAUCAUCGAAUCUUUGAACGCACAUUGCGCCCGCCAGUAUUCUGGCGGGCAUGCCUGUCUGAGCGUCAUUUCAACCCUCAUGCCCCUAGGGCGUGGUGUUGGGGAUCGGCCAAAGCCCGCGAGGGACGGCCGGCCCCUAAAUCUAGUGGCGGACCCGUCGUGGCCUCCUCUGCGAAGUAGUGAUAUUCCGCAUCGGAGAGCGAUGAGCCCCUGCCGUUAAACCCCCAACUUUCCAAGGUUGACCUCGGAUCAGGUAGGGAUACCCGCUGAACUUAAGCAUAUCAAUAAGCGGAGG
rnacentral:misc_RNA from 1 species